rnacentral:lncRNA from 1 species
AAGAAGUCCGGGGGGCUGCUGGGGGGGAUUGUCUCGGGGCUGUUCCCGGAUGAUCCCCUGGAGCUCAACCCUGUGCUGGGGAAGAUCGCGCUCCGAUUCCUGACCAAGACGGUGCUGGACAAGGAUGCAACCGAGGGGAAUGCGCUCACCGAGACCGGGAUCAAGCUGUGGACCGCGCCGCAGAUCGCCCCGGUGCUCAACGCGGGCCUGCCCGCCGUGAUCCAGGAGCCGCUGCUCCACACCGCGCCC